UACGAGGGGAGCAAGCGUUGUUCGGAUUUACUGGGCGUAAAGGGCGCGUAGGCGGCCACGACAAGUCACUUGUGAAAUCUCCGGGCUUAACUCGGAAAGGUCAAGUGAUACUGUCGGCUAGAGUACAGAAGGGGCAACUGGAAUUCUCGGUGUAGCGGUGAAAUGCGUAGAUAUCGAGAGGAACACCUGCGGCGAAGGCGGGUUGCUGGGCUGAUACUGACGCUGAUGCGCGAAAGCCAGGGAGCGAACGGG
rnacentral:rRNA from 1 species